UGGCGGACGGGUGAGGAAUACAUCGGAAUCUACUCUGUCGUGGGGGAUAACGUAGGGAAACUUACGCUAAUACCGCAUACGACCUACGGGUGAAAGCAGGGGAUCUUCGGACCUUGCGCGAUUGAAUGAGCCGAUGUCGGAUUAGCUAGUUGGCGGGGUAAAGGCCCACCAAGGCGACGAUCCGUAGCUGGUCUGAGAGGAUGAUCAGCCACACUGGAACUGAGACACGGUCCAGACUCCUACGGGAGGCAGCAGUC
rnacentral:rRNA from 1 species